UGGGAUUCUUGUCAGCUAGAUUAUAGGCAGAACAAGCUCAUGUCUCUUUAUAGAACAAGCUAUGAAGGAAUAGUAAUCACCCAGACAUUGUGUGGGUUUGCUUUCCUUCUUCUCCUGGAGGAAUGGAGGGUGUUGUUGACAGCCAGCCUAGAGCCCUCCAGUCUGCCUUCUGCACCUCUCCCAUGCACUACAGGAGCACCAAAGGUGAUGCUUGUUGUGACUCACAGAACAGGAACCAGAAGCGUGCAAGCUGGUAAAUCCGCUUACUAA
rnacentral:lncRNA from 1 species